UACGUACGAGGCGAGCGUUAUCCGGAAUUACUGGGCGUAAAGCGCACGCAGGCGGUCUGCUAAGUUUGGAGUGACAGUUGGUGGCUUAACUGCCAAAGUGCUUCGAAAACUGACAGACUUGAGGGCUUCAGAGGGACACGGAAUUCCGGGUGGAGUGGUGAAAUGCGUAGAGAUCCGGAGGAACACCAAAGGCGAAGGCAGUGUCCUGGGGAGUACCUGACGCUCAGGUGCGAAAGCCAGGGGAGCGAACGGG
rnacentral:rRNA from 1 species